UCGUAACAAGGUUUCCGUAGGUGAACCUGCGGAAGGAUCAUUACCGAGUGCGGGCCCUCUGGGCCCACCUCCCACCCGUGUCUACGUACCUAGUUGCUUCGGCGGGCCCCGCCCCUGGGCCUCCGCCCGCCGAAGACCCCCUUGAACGCUGUCUGUAGAGUGCUGUCUGAGCGAUUAGCAAAAUUAGUUAAAACUUUCAACAACGGAUCUCUUGGUUCCGGCAUCGAUGAAGAACGCAGCGAAAUGCGAUAAGUAAUGUGAAUUGCAGAAUUCAGUGAAUCAUCGAGUCUUUGAACGCACAUUGCGCCCCCUGGUAUUCCGGGGGGCAUGCCUGUCCGAGCGUCAUUGCUGCCCUCAAGCACGGCUUGUGUGUUGGGCCCCCGUCCACCGCCCCCUCUUCGGGGGGCAGGACGGGCCCGAAAGGCAGUGGCGCCGCCGCGUCCGGUCCUCGAGCGUAUGGGGCUUUGUCACCCGCUCUUGUAGGCCCGGCCGGCGGUCGCCGACCCUCCCCCAAUCUUUUCAGGUUGACCUCGGAUCAGGUAGGGAUACCCGCUGAACCUAAGCAUAUC
rnacentral:misc_RNA from 1 species